rnacentral:rRNA from 1 species
UACGGGGGGGGCAAGCGUUGUUCGGAAUUACUGGGCGUAAAGGGCUCGUAGGUGGUCAACUAAGUCGGACGUGAAAUCCCUCGGCUUAACCGGGGAACUGCGUCCGAUACUGGAUGACUUGAGUUCGGGAGAGGGAAGCGGAAUUUCCGGUGUAGCGGUGAAAUGCGUAGAUAUCGGGAGGAACACCGGUGGCGAAGGCGGUUCUCUGGGCCUUACCUGACGCUGAGGAGCGAAAGCGUGGGGAGCGAACAGG